UACGAAGGGGGCUAGCGUUGCUCGGAAUCACUGGGCGUAAAGCGCACGUAGGCGGCUUCUUAAGUCAGGGGUGAAAUCCUGGAGCUCAACUCCAGAACUGCCUUUGAUACUGGGAGGCUCGAGUCCGGGAGAGGUGAGUGGAACUGCGAGUGUAGAGGUGAAAUUCGUAGAUAUUCGCAAGAACACCAGUGGCGAAGGCGGCUCACUGGCCCGGUACUGACGCUGAGGUGCGAAAGCGUGGGGAGCAAAAGGG
rnacentral:rRNA from 1 species